CCUACGGGUGGCUGCAGUAGGGAAUAUUGCAAAAUGGGCGAAAGCCCGAUGCAGCAACGCCGCGUGCGCGAUGCAGGCCUUCGGGUCGUAAAGCGCUUUUCGAGGGGAUGAGGAAGGACAGUACCCUCGGAAUAAGUCUCGGCUAACUACGUGCCAGCAGCCGCGGUAAAACGUAGGAGGCGAGCGUUAUCCGGAUUUACUGGGCGUAAAGCGCGUGCAGGCGGCUUAGCAAGUUGGAUGUGAAAGCUCCCGGCUCAACUGGGAGAGGUCGUUCAAUACUGCUAAGCUAGAGGGUGGUAGAGGGAGGUGGAAUUCCGGGUGUAGUGGUGAAAUGCGUAGAUAUCCGGAGGAACACCAGUGGCGAAAGCGGCCUUCUGGACCAUUCCUGACGCUCAGACGCGAAAGCUAGGGUAGCAAACGGGAUUAGAUACCCCGGUAGUC
rnacentral:rRNA from 1 species